GGCGAACGCUGGCGGCGUGCUUAACACAUGCAAGUCGAACGGAAAGGCCCUGCUUUUGUGGGGUGCUCGAGUGGCGAACGGGUGAGUAACACGUGAGUAACCUGCCCUUGACUUUGGGAUAACUUCAGGAAACUGGGGCUAAUACCGGAUAGGAGCUCCUGCUGCAUGGUGGGGGUUGGAAAGUUUCGGCGGUUGGGGAUGGACUCGCGGCUCAUCAGCUUGUUGGUGGGGUAGUGGCUUACCAAGGCUUUGACGGGUAGCCGGCCUGAGAGGGUGACCGGCCACAUUGGGACUGAGAUACGGCCCAGACUCCUACGGGAGGCAGCAGUGGGGAAUAUUGCACAAUGGGCGGAAGCCUGAUGCAGCAACGCCGCGUGCGGGAUGACGGCCUUCGGGUUGUAAACCGCUUUCGCCUGUGACGAAGCGUGAGUGACGGUAAUGGGUAAAGAAGCACCGGCUAACUACGCG
rnacentral:rRNA from 1 species